GAAUAAUUUCCUAGAGGUAUUAAGUACAUUCCUAAAGUGGAUCCUAUUAGAAAUAUGCAAUUAAGCAUGCUUGGGCUAGAGUAGUACUAAUAUGGGUGACCUCAUGGGAAGUCCUAGUGUUUUACACA
rfam:Picea glauca, whole genome shotgun sequence.